UGACACGGAGACGGAGGAAGGGGGCGCCGAUCGACGGCAAACCGGCGGAUCGAGCGAGCUCACAUGACGGAGCAGGCGUUGGGGUUCUCGUCGCUGAACAUCUGGGGCGCGUGGAGGUGGGAGGGGCCGCCGUACCCGUAGGCCGGCGCGGGCGGGUAAUGGACACCGGCGUUGGGGUGGUAGAAGCCACCGGCGUGGUUGGGUGGCGGCGGCGGGGCGGCGCCGUAGUAGCCGCCGGGAGCCGGCGGAUACGCGCCGUACCCGUAGUGCGGGGGCAUCUGGUACAUGGCGGCGUCGGCCAGGGGUAACGGCGCCACCGACGCGGCCGCGGCCGCGGCCUUGUCCUUCUUCUCCUCGCCCCCACCGUCCUUCUUCUUGUCUCCCCCGUCUCCUGCGCCCUUGUCCUUCUUGUCG
rnacentral:lncRNA from 1 species